AACGAACGCUGGCGGCAGGCUUAACACAUGCAAGUCGAGCGAGGACUUCGGUCCUAGCGGCGGACGGGUGAGUAACGCGUGGGAACGUGCCCUUUGCUUCGGAAUAGCCCUGGGAAACUGGGAGUAAUACCGGAUGAGCCCUUUGGGGGAAAGAUUUAUCGGCGAAGGAUCGGCCCGCGUUGGAUUAGGUAGUUGGUGGGGUAAUGGCCUACCAAGCCGACGAUCCAUGGCUGGUUUGAGAGGAUGAUCAGCCACACUGGGACUGAGACACGGCCCAGACUCCUACGGGAGGCAGCAGUAGGGAAUCUUAGACGAUGAGGGAGAACCUGAUCUCGCCAUGCCGCGUGAGCGAUGAAGGCCUUAGGGUUGUAAAGCUCUUUCAGAUGAGAAGAUAAUGACGGUACCAGCAGAAGAAGCCCCGGCUAACUCCGUG
rnacentral:rRNA from 1 species